AGGAGGUCUGAGAUGCUGUCUAAGGAAAUGCUCCCCAGACUGCGAGACGUUUGAUGCGGACGGGAUGAAGCCCUUUUUGGUCUUCGAUCUCCCUUCUCUUGGGGCGGGGAGCGGUCUUCUCUCUGUGACCCAAAGCCAGCCAUGUGCUCAGCUCUGUCUUCCCUGGGGUCUCCAUUGAGGGUGGUGGCCUUAAGUGAACACGAGUGACUCCUGCUAACUACAGAUUGUCAUGAACGGGAUUGAAAACUGAAAGCCGUUAGCUCUAACGCGGCAUAACUUCUCCUUCCCCGAAGGCAUUGCCUUUUGGCACUCGGGAGACAAGAUGCAGGUUCCGUCUCAGAAGUAAUGGCUGGAUCCCUGAAAGCCAACGGGCUCGGUGUGGUCCACCCGUCAGAAGGCAUAGGUAGAUGGUGGGCAUCUGCCUCAGACAUAGUUCUCAAGUUCAGCCAGAAGAAUGCGCGUUGAGCCCUCUGCAGCCCGUGUCGACGGAGGUGUUGUCUCCAGGAAGCAUCAUGGAAAGGCGUGGUGGUGCACAAGGGCCUUCAGGAUGCCUGCGCCUGGUGACGGCUGCGCCUCAGGUUCUGGGCCUGACUCGGAAGGGUGCCUGUGAGCAGAAGAGCUGGCACGCGCAGCUCAGUGGACCAUCAGUGCCAACCCGUCCUGUACCCUGGCUGAGGGGUGUGCUAAGUGGCAGAUUCCCGGUUGGCUCAUCGUAAGGCGUGGCACAAAAUCACCAUCGAAAGAAAGGGCCUUCGGGAUGCCUCUAUCUGGUUCUUUCCUUGUUUCUAGGUUAUUGCCCUGUAGUGCCAGAGAGAACCACAUAGCCUGCUGCUGCUCCUGCCUUUAAUUUCCCAAAGAGUCAUCAGACGACCUUGGAGUUUGUUCUGCAAGAGGAGCCAGUAAGGCCUCGUGACUGUGGUCACCCUCGGAAGCCUUUGACAGCUAGCUGGUGAGGGCGCUCAGUCGGAGGCCCUGGGGAGGCCCCUGCUAAGCCGAGAAAAGCAUUUCUCACAGUGGAUUUCCUGGAAGUCAGGGUUGGCCUUUGUAUUUUGAAGCACAAAUAAACUUUAUAAAAUUUAA
rnacentral:lncRNA from 1 species